ACUCUCGAAACAGAUCACAUAUAUAGCAGUUCACCCAGAGUUAGAUUACGAGAUGACAACUCGUAGUCUUCCCUCUACACCAAUAUAAAAUGCCAUCGGUAGCAACAUGCCUGAUAACUUCUGCACGACACAUAACAAGACCGUAAAGGUCUGACUGGAAAACAGGUUGUAAGAAUCUCAACUCCAGGACGAACUACAAAAGACUUGAUCCCUUCGACAAGGGUACGUAGGCAGCCUUCACAAGGCGCAUACCUAAUCUUAUCGCACUCCACUUUUAGUACAGUGAACAUACCACUU
rnacentral:lncRNA from 1 species